AUUGAACGCUGGCGGCAGGCCUAACACAUGCAAGUCGAGCGGAUGAAGGGAGCUUGCUCCUGGAUUCAGCGGCGGACGGGUGAGUAAUGCCUAGGAAUCUGCCUGGUAGUGGGGGAUAACGUCCGGAAACGGGCGCUAAUACCGCAUACGUCCUGAGGGAGAAAGUGGGGGAUCUUCGGACCUCACGCUAUCAGAUGAGCCUAGGUCGGAUUAGCUAGUUGGUGGGGUAAAGGCCUACCAAGGCGACGAUCCGUAACUGGUCUGAGAGGAUGAUCAGUCACACUGGAAAUGAGACACGCUCCAGAGUCCUACGGGAGGCAGAAGAGUGGAAUAUUGGACAAUGGGCGAAAGCCUGAUCCAGCGAUGCCGCGUGUGUGAAGAAGGUCUUCGGAUUGUAAAGCACUUUAAGUUGGGAGGAAGGGCAGUAAGUUAAUACCUUGCUGUUUUGACGUUACCAACAGAAUAAGCACCGGCUAACUUCGUG
rnacentral:rRNA from 1 species